CUGCGGCAGCGACACUAUGUGUUGUUGGGUAGGGGAGCGUUCUGUAAGCCUGUGAAGGUGGCCUGUGAGGGUUGCUGGAGGUAUCAGAAGUGCGAAUGCUGACAUAAGUAACGAUAAAGCGGGUGAAAAGCCCGCUCGCCGGAAGACCAAGGGUUCCUGUCCAACGUUAAUCGGGGCAGGGUGAGUCGACCCCUAAGGCGAGGCCGAAAGGCGUAGUCGAUGGGAAACAGGUUAAUAUUCCUGUACUUGGUGUUACUGCGAAGGGGGGACGGAGAAGGCUAUGUUGGCCGGGCGACGGUUGUCCCGGUUUAAGCGUGUAGGCUGGUUUUCCAGGCAAAUCCGGAAAACCAAGGCUGAGGCGUGAUGA
rnacentral:rRNA from 1 species